ensembl:misc_RNA Metazoa_SRP Metazoan signal recognition particle RNA
GCUGGGCGUGGUGGCGCGUGCCUAUAAUCCCAGCUACUGGGGAGGCUGAGACAGAAGAAUCGCUUGAACUCAGGAGGUGGACGUUGCAGUGAGCCGAGAUUGCGCCACUGCACUCCAGCCUGGGUGACAGAGUGAGACUCUGUCUCAA